GGUCACAAGGGAGAUGUCCGCCCCCAGUCGUAGCCUCGGACGGUUUCUGAGCGUUGGUGUUUGGCACGCGCCACCCUCUCUUGCUUUGGUUCCGCCAUGCCGAUGUACCAGGUAAAACCUUAUCACGGGCGCGGCGCGCCUCUCCGUGUGGAGCUUCCCACCUGCAUGUACCGGCUCUCUAACGUGCAAGGCAGGAGCGGCGGCCCAGCGCCCGGCGUUGGCCACCUACAGUCUUUGGUAGAUGAGUGGCUGGAUAGCUACAAGCAAGACCAGGAUGCAGGAUUUCUGGAGCUUGUUAACUUUUUCAUCUGAUCUUGUGGAUGUAAAGGACUCGGGGGACUAUCCUCUGACAGCUCCAGGUCUAUCCUGGAAGAAGUUCCAGGGCAGCUUCUGUGAGUUUGUGGGGACAUUGGUCUGUCGGUGCCAGUACAUCCUCCUCCAUGAUGACUUCCCUAUGGACAACCUCAUCUCCCUGCUCACUGGCUUCUCAGACUCACAAGUCUGCGCCUUCUGUCACACUAGCACCCUGGCUGCUAUGAAACUGAUGACCUCCCUGGUAAGAGUUGCCCUCCAACUGAGUCUGCACGAAGAUAUCAAUCAGCGUCAGUAUGAGGCUGAAAGAAACAAGGGGCCAGGGCAGAGGGCACCUGAGCGGCUGGAGAGCCUGUUGGAGAAACACAAAGAGCUGCAUUAAUACUACAUUGUCAAAGACAAAGACGAACAUGAGACAUGCGAUAUGAGUUUUAAAAGGAGAGAAGAGCAAAAAAACAAUACAGCUAUCCAAGGAGCAAGUGCUGAGCUUGUGAAAAAACAGCUUCUAUUUUAUUAAAUAAUAGUGUUCCUGCAGGGAUGUCUGAAGUACUCUGCAAGGCUAAUUAGGACAGAUCAAUGUACACUUACCUCUCCAGAAGGCUGAAAGAUACAGACUGAAAUGUUACCAGAUAAAAUGAUGUCAUGUCUGGGAUUCGCUUCAAAAUAAUUUGAGGUGGAAGUGGAAAGUGGAAACAACAAUUAUGAAACAACCUGGCCCAUGAGAUGAUAGCUGUGGAAGUGAUACCUUUACAGCUAAAUUUACUCCAGAGUGACAGAAACAGGUGCACCUCGGCCUGCCAGACACUUGUGCAGAGAGAUCACGCAUCUCACGGCUUGACGAUCAAGGGGGCAAAGCCUCGGUCUUCAUAGAAAAGGAGAGGAGGCAAACGCAGCCCAAACUGGGGGGUUUCUCUUCAAAGCCAGCUGGUCUGGCUUUAUUCUACAGGAAUUUUUUUACCUGUCAGGGUUUGGACAACAAAGCCCUCAGCAGGUGCUGACGGGUACAACUUCCUGGAGAAGCAGAAAGGCACUGGUGAGUUUCAAUUGCCAAAAUAUAUUUUUUAAUCUCUAAAAGUUAAUUUUGUUGUCUUGAAAGAGGCACCACUGAGGUACCUGUGUUCACAAAGUUGAUGAGACCAUUGGAAUCAGAGCCAACUCACUCAACAGUGGGUUUGCCUUAUGUGAAAGUAAAGCUGUUACCAUAUAACAAUUUUUUAGUUUUUUUUUUAGGUUUAAAAAAAGAUUCUAUUUUUAAAUAUUGGUCUCUUUCAUUACUGUUUUCAAUAUUUGGAAGAUGAAGAGUUAAUUACAUUUAUAAUAUUACAUGAUUUAACACACAUUUUAGUCUCCUUUUUAUCUAAUUCUGUCAUAAUCUUUUCUGAAUAAAAAGUUAUUUUCUAAUAAAUCUCCCAAAUAAAAAGGUGUAAUGGUACAUACUAUUUUCAAAAAUUACAUGUACUGGGUUUUUUAAAAUGUGUGCAUGCUACAAGAACAUGAUUAGAGAGAACAUGCAAUUAACUUUAUUUUAAUACAUUUUUAAAAUAUACGUUGCAUAUAUAAUUAAAUAAUUUAAAAUAUAUUGCAUGUUUAAUAAUUAAAAGUAAAUUGUAUUGUAGUAAAUAUUAUUUAAUAAUUAAAAGUGGCAAUAUUUUCUCA
ensembl:lncRNA STAG3L4 STAG3 cohesin complex component like 4 (pseudogene)